AUUGAACGCUGGCGGCAGGCUUAACACAUGCAAGUCGAGCGGAGAUGAGGUGCUUGCACCUUAUCUUAGCGGCGGACGGGUGAGUAAUGCUUAGGAAUCUGCCUAUUAGUGGGGGACAACAUUCCGAAAGGAAUGCUAAUACCGCAUACGUCCUACGGGAGAAAGCAGGGGAUCUUCGGAUCUUGCGCUAAUAGAUGAGCCUAAGCCGGAUUAGCUAGUUGGUGGGGUAAAGGCCUACCAAGGCGACGAUCUGUAGCGGGUCUGAGAGGAUGAUCCGCCACACUGGGACUGAGACGCGGCCCAGACUCCUACGGGAGGCAGCAGUGGGGAAUAUUGGACAAUGGGGGAAACCCUGAUCCAGCCAUGCCGCGUGUGUGAAGAAGGCCUUAUGGUUGUAAAGCACUUUAAGCGAGGAGGAGGCUACUGAGACUAAUACUCUUGGAUAGUGGACGUUACUCGCAGAAUAAGCACCGGCUAACUCUGUGCCAGCCGCCGCAGUAA
rnacentral:rRNA from 1 species